CAAGAAACGAGGCUACGUGCCCCGCUCUUUACCUUGCCUACUGCACUAUCUGUUGCUUCCUGGCGGCGUUUGCCUGCCGCCAGGGACAUUGUAAAGCCCUGUAUAAGCAUUAAAAAACUGAAACAAACCGAAUCGUA
rnacentral:misc_RNA from 1 species